CUAUAGUACCUAGUGACCUGUCCACUUUGUAAAUUUACCAUUUCUCAAUAAUUGGUCCCAAACAGCAAAUGCAAUAAACAAGGGCUCUUUCUCUCCCUUCUGUGUUAUGGUUUCCAUUGGGACUAAAGCUGAGAUAGGAAAAGGAGGGUUAUUCAUUUGCCCUCCGGCUCUUUUAUUUCGCACACUCAAAAAUAGAUACGGAAAAGAGGCAAGUGGUUGUGGAGUGAGCCUUAGGAGCCACCUAUGCAGGACGGCUCCCAAGACCCCACGAUGCUGCCAUACCAGGCUGGUGUGGUGAUUUUAAACAAGCCUAGUGGGAAGCAGCUGAGCCAGUAUAGGAACUGGCUCCUUGACAGUCUUUGAAAGCGGGAUCCAGCCCACAGCCAGUUAAUUCUGCAUCCAGGUGCUGAGGUACGGUUUGCGACACUAGAGGGCAGCAGAGGGUCAGGUGUCUCUGCAGGUGGCUGGGGAGGUGGACACCACCCAGGGAGGGGCUUGCAGCCUAGGGUGGCAGGGCAACGUCAGAAAAGGUGGCAGUGACAAAGAAGAGCCAAGGACACCGUCAAAACACAAGCCUCAGGGGCCAGUUGUGGAAAUAUCAUUCCCCUCAAGGGAAAUAAUAGAAUCCAGAACAAGAGCCACAAGAAGCCCGGAUGGUGUUGGAACGCAGAGAGGAUGAGAGCCAAAGUGAAGACCAGGCCAGAGAUAUGAUGGCAGGAGCUGGAGAUUCCCUGAAGAACCAUGAGAUAGAAGCCACAUUUUGAGGAUGGCAGAACAGCAAGAUAGAGGGAACGUGGGCUCUGAUGAUGAUAAAGCAGCCAUAGCAAGCAUGGACCAUGUCCCUGGACAUCUACCUGAGAGAGAAGGCAACUAUUAAUGAAACAUCUUUAAGAAAAUGAGAACACAGUGAAAGGUUUUAAACAGGGUUGGAGGCAAUACAAAUAAAGACGCAUAAAAUUCAGCUUGGCUAAAGAUGAAAUCAAGAACAGGAUUAGCAUUAAGUAUAUCUUGGGGAAUGGAAAAAAUGUUCUAACAGUCCAUAUUAAUAGAGUGGGGUUAUCUAUGGGGCAGAAAGAUAGCCAAUGACUCUCGAGCUAUGGCAAAGAAAAACAAAAGGAUUAGACCACUGUAGAUUAUUUUAGGAAGGGUUGGGAAAGUGUCUGUUACAGGGCUAUCUCCUUUACGUUAAUUUAUAACUCCCGCUACCAGGGUGAGAACUCAGCAUUUGUUCCUCUCCUGAGCUUAACUUUAGUUCUCCAUUUACACUGGGUCUGUAUCUGACUUGUGCUGGUCGUUUUUCCUCAAUGGGUUCUUAGGAAACACUAACAAUUUUCAAUAGAAAGCUUCAGUACUUUAAUCUGUGCCACUUUCCCCACUCAUAACCUUCAGUAGAUUUUCUGUAGCUGUUUCUAAGGUGACAUCACAAGCAGAAGGUAACCGAGAGACAGUAACUAGCAUGUAUCAUGACACAUACCUGCUAUGUGCCAGGCAGAGUUUUACCUGCAUUUUCUUGUUCAAUCCUGACAGCAACCUUUUACCUAAUCCUUGUCACAUACCAGUUGUGUAGCCUCAGGAACAGUUCUUACUCUUCUUCCAAUUUCUUCAAUUUAAAAUGCAAUAAAAAUAAUGAUAGAGAGUAUGUCAGAAUUGUGACAACGAAAUGAGUUUAACACAUUUAAAAUACUUAAAACAGGUUUCUGUAUUCAGUAAGCUCUCAAUAAAUGUUUAUUUCUGAUAGGAAGAGGUCAUAGUCAUCAUUAUCUGUAUUUUACAUAUGAGGAGGUUGCAUGUUUAAAUUACCUCCCCAAAGUCAUCAUAGCCAGCUAGUAAGCGGCAGAGCUGGGUGAUGCUAGGUCCUUUCUUUUUAUACAAGACAUCAGUUAGAAUGGUGAGCUAACAGGGCUCCAUGCUUCAAGAAAGAAAGGUAAGAUGCCAUGGUUGUGUGGAUUCAAUCUCAUCGCCACUCCUUUUCAGGUGGAAGUGGUAAGUGACUGUGUCUUUCUCCAUUUAUUCACAUGCCCAGCUGGUUUGCAUGACUUUGCUGGGGCCUUAGCUGUCCUGUGAAAUUCUGUGAGCUCCCAUUUCUUUCUAACUGGAUAAAGUGUGAGCCAUUUAUGGGCAAAAAUCUUCUCAGAACCUUGACCACAAAUAUCUGCUGAACAGGGAGUUCUUCUGCAGAACCCUGAUGUUUUAUCAUGUGAAAAGAAACAUGGGUCAUAGGAUUUGCAAAGUGAAUCACAGAGGCAAAGAUUCCUCCAUAUGAAAUAUCGUCAUGGGCGUCUGUUGGAAAAACAUUGAAUGUGCUUAAUUUACUUUUCGUGAUCCUUUUGGGAGUUGGCUCUCAGUGUAUGUGCCUCUAAAAAAUUUCAAGACUCUUCAUACUCAUGCUAAAAUUGCUGCUUACUGAUGUUUUAUUAUGCUACAAAGAGAAUCACAGCCUAGAUUUCAGCAUUCUGAUGUGUAAGGACUUCCUGUAUUGGCAUACUGUCUUUCCAGUGGUUGCAAGAGAUUCUGAAGCCUCUGGUUUGUUCUGUCCCUCAGCAGCAUCUUCAAUAUAUAGUUAUUAUCAUUAUGAUUAUUAUCUAUUGAUGAUAAAACGCAGGUGCGCUGAUGCUAAGAGAUGGUUCUAAGAUUUGUGUAGCUAGUCAAGGCAAGAACUAAACUGAUGGCUCCCUUUUUGCCUUAGCUGUGGGAAUAUGAAUAUGUCAUAGUCUUCUAUUAAGACUGUGUAUGAUUGCAAGUUAAUAAAAACCCAACUUAAAAGCUUUUAAAGAAGUGGGAAUUUUUCUCAUAUAACAAUAAAAAAAAUCAAGAGGGAGGCCAUUAUUGUCACUACUGAUUCAGCUGCUGAGUGAUGGUAGGAUUGUCUCAGUUUCUCACUUGCAGAUGGUUGCUGAACAUUCGUCCCCUUUGAUCAAGAUAUGUUCCCCCACCCUUAGCAAACAUCUGCUUACAUUCAUUUGCCAGAAUGGUGGCAUAUGGCCACUUUUAUCUAGCUGCAAAGGAGGCUCAGAGAGAGCAGAGAAGGGAACUGGGAAUGGGUGUUGGGAAAGCCCACCCACAGUGCCUUCACAUCUGAAUCUUGAAGGUUAUGUUUAUACAACUCCUAAAUAACUGACUCAAAAUUUUCAGUCAAGUCAGUGAACAAAUAUUCAGAGAUUUAUUUGGUGAUGUAGCCAUCAACUGUAACUGUAUAUUUCAUUGUUCAGUAGGUUGUUAGGCUCUAUUUGGACAAUCUAAUCCUGCUCAAAUCUUCUAUGCCUUUGGUUCACUGAUAUGCUUAGAUAAAAUCUGAACCAAACCAAUGGUUUUCAGUGGCAUUCCGUGAAUCAGUGCUAGAUUAGCUUCAUAAGAGUCACCUUUCUAUUCUUGAGUCAGUUUUGGUAACUUGAGUCUUUCAAAGAAUUCAUCCAUUUUGUCUAAGUUUUAAAUUUGUUGGCAUAAAUUUGUCCGUAAUAUUCUCUUAUUUAAUGUUUGUAGGAUCUAGUGAUAGCUCUUCUUUUGUUUCUGAUAUUGGUAAAUUGUGUUCUCUCUCUCCUCUCCCACCUCAGUUAGUGUCACUUAAGGUUUACUGAACCCUUCAAAGAGCCAGAUUUUCCAUAAUUUUUUGGAAUUGUUUUUUCAUUUUCUAAUUUAUUACUUUCUGCUCUUAUUUCCUUUCUCCAACUUACUUUAGGUUUAAUUUGCUCCUUUUUCUGGUUUCUUAAGAUGAAAGCUUAGAUCAUUGAUUUUAGGCCCUCCUCUUUUUAAAAUAUAAGCACGUAGAGUUAUAAAAUUCCCUUUAACAACUUCUUUAGCUGCAUCACACACAUUUUAAUGUUGUGUUAUUUUCAUUUAGUUCAAAACACUUUCUAACUUUCUCAUUUCCUUUUUUUUGAAACAUUGUAUAGUUACAUAUGUGGUUUGACUUAGCAAUUUCCCAUAUAUCCUUCUGUUACUGAUUUCUAGUUUAAUUUCACUGCAGUCAAAGAACAUACUCUGCAUUGUUUUGAUUCUUUUAAAAAUGUUGAGUUUUGUUUUACAGCUCAGCAUGCGUUCUAGCUUGGUGAAUGCUUCCUGCACCCUUGAAAAGAAUGUGUAUUCUACUGUUGAGUACAGCAUUCUAUCAGUGUCAACUCGGUCAAGUUGGUUGCUAGAGAUGAUGAAAUCUUUUAUUUCUUUACUGGUUUUUGGUCUACUUUGAUAAAUUACUGAGAGAAGAAUGUUUAUCUCUGAACAUAAUUAACUUUUUUUCCUAUUUUUCUGUUCUUAUUUUACAUAUU